rnacentral:rRNA from 1 species
AGCGUACACGGUGGAUGCCCUGGCAGUCAGAGGCGAUGAAGGACGUGCUAAUCUGCGAUAAGCGUCGGUAAGGUGAUAUGAACCGUUAUAACCGGCGAUUUCCGAAUGGGGAAACCCAGUGUGUUUCGACACACUAUCAUUAACUGAAUCCAUAGGUUAAUGAGGCGAACCGGGGGAACUGAAACAUCUAAGUACCCCGAGGAAAAGAAAUCAACCGAGAUUCCCCCAGUAGCGGCGAGCGAACGGGGAGCAGCCCAGAGCCUGAAUCAGURUGUGUGUUAGUGGAAGCGUCUGGAAAGGCRCGCGAUACAGGGUGACAGCCCCGUACACAAAAAUGCACAUGCUGUGAGCUCGAUGAGUAGGGCGGGACACGUGGUAUCCUGUCUGAAUAUGGGGGGACCAUCCUCCAAGGCUAAAUACUCCUGACUGACCGAUAGUGAACCAGUACCGUGAGGGAAAGGCGAAAAGAACCCCGGCGAGGGGAGUGAAAAAGAACCUGAAACCGUGUACRUACAAGCAGUGGGAGCACGCUUAGGCGUGUGACUGCGUACCUUUUGUAUAAUGGGUCAGCGACUUAUAUUCUGUAGCAAGGUUAACCGAAUAGGGGAGCCGAAGGGAAACCGAGUCUUAACUGGGCGUUAAGUUGCAGGGUAUAGACCCGAAACCCGGUGAUCUAGCCAUGGGCAGGUUGAAGGUUGGGUAACACUAACUGGAGGACCGAACCGACUAAUGUUGAAAAAUUAGCGGAUGACUUGUGGCUGGGGGUGAAAGGCCAAUCAAACCGGGAGAUAGCUGGUUCUCCCCGAAAGCUAUUUAGGUAGCGCCUCGUGAAUUCAUCUCCGGGGGUAGAGCACUGUUUCGGCAAGGGGGUCAUCCCGACUUACCAACCCGAUGCAAACUGCGAAUACCGGAGAAUGUUAUCACGGGAGACACACGGCGGGUGCUAACGUCCGUCGUGAAGAGGGAAACAACCCAGACCGCCAGCUAAGGUCCCAAAGUCAUGGUUAAGUGGGAAACGAUGUGGGAAGGCCCAGACAGCCAGGAUGUUGGCUUAGAAGCAGCCAUCAUUUAAAGAAAGCGUAAUAGCUCACUGGUCGAGUCGGCCUGCGCGGAAGAUGUAACGGGGCUAAACCAUGCACCGAAGCUGCGGCAGCGACACUAUGUGUUGUUGGGUAGGGGAGCGUUCUGUAAGCCUGUGAAGGUGUGCUGUGAGGCAUGCUGGAGGUAUCAGAAGUGCGAAUGCUGACAUAAGUAACGAUAAAGCGGGUGAAAAGCCCGCUCGCCGGAAGACCAAGGGUUCCUGUCCAACGUUAAUCGGGGCAGGGUGAGUCGACCCCUAAGGCGAGGCCGAAAGGCGUAGUCGAUGGGAAACAGGUUAAUAUUCCUGUACUUGGUGUUACUGCGAAGGGGGGACGGAGAAGGCUAUGUUGGCCGGGCGACGGUUGUCCCGGUUUAAGCGUGUAGGCUGGUUUUCCAGGCAAAUCCGGAAAAUCAAGGCUGAGGCGUGAUGACGAGGCACUACGGUGCUGAAGCAACAAAUGCCCUGCUUCCAGGAAAAGCCUCUAAGCAUCAGGUAACAUCAAAUCGUACCCCAAACCGACACAGGUGGUCAGGUAGAGAAUACCAAGGCGCUUGAGAGAACUCGGGUGAAGGAACUAGGCAAAAUGGUGCCGUAACUUCGGGAGAAGGCACGCUGAUAUGUAGGUGAAGUCCCUUGCGGAUGGAGCUGAAAUCAGUCGAAGAUACCAGCUGGCUGCAACUGUUUAUUAAAAACACAGCACUGUGCAAACACGAAAGUGGACGUAUACGGUGUGACGCCUGCCCGGUGCCGGAAGGUUAAUUGAUGGGGUYAGCGCAAGCGAAGCUCUUGAUCGAAGCCCCGGUAAACGGCGGCCGUAACUAUAACGGUCCUAAGGUAGCGAAAUUCCUUGUCGGGUAAGUUCCGACCUGCACGAAUGGCGUAAUGAUGGCCAGGCUGUCUCCACCCGAGACUCAGUGAAAUUGAACUCGCUGUGAAGAUGCAGUGUACCCGCGGCAAGACGGAAAGACCCCGUGAACCUUUACUAUAGCUUGACACUGAACAUUGAGCCUUGAUGUGUAGGAUAGGUGGGAGGCUUWGAAGUGUGGACGCCAGUCUGCAUGGAGCCGACCUUGAAAUACCACCCUUUAAUGUUUGAUGUUCUAACGUKGACCCGURAUCCGGGUUGCGGACAGUGUCUGGUGGGUAGUUUGACUGGGGCGGUCUCCUCCUAAAGAGUAACGGAGGAGCACGAAGGUUGGCUAAUCCUGGUCGGACAUCAGGAGGUUAGUGCAAUGGCAUAAGCCAGCUUGACUGCGAGCGUGACGGCGCGAGCAGGUGCGAAAGCAGGUCAUAGUGAUCCGGUGGUUCUGAAUGGAAGGGCCAUCGCUCAACGGAUAAAAGGUACUCCGGGGAUAACAGGCUGAUACCGCCCAAGAGUUCAUAUCGACGGCGGUGUUUGGCACCUCGAUGUCGGCUCAUCACAUCCUGGGGCUGAAGUAGGUCCCAAGGGUAUGGCUGUUCGCCAUUUAAAGUGGUACGCGAGCUGGGUUUAGAACGUCGUGAGACAGUUCGGUCCCUAUCUGCCGUGGGCGCUGGAGAACUGAGGGGGGCUGCUCCUAGUACGAGAGGACCGGAGUGGACGCAUCACUGGUGUUCGGGUUGUCAUGCCAAUGGCACUGCCCGGUAGCUAAAUGCGGAAGAGAUAAGUGCUGAAAGCAUCUAAGCACGAAACUUGCCCCGAGAUGAGUUCU